rnacentral:rRNA from 1 species
AUACGGAGGAUCCAAGCGUAAUCCGGAUUAAUUGGGUUUAAAGGGUGCGUAGGCGGACUGGCACGUCAGCUGUGUAAGUUUGCGGCUUAACCGUAAAUUUGCGGUUGAUACUGUCAGUCUUGAGUGUGCAUGAGGUGGGCGGAAUUUGUGGUGUAGCGGUGAAAUGCUUAGAUAUCACGAGGAACUCCAAUUGCGAAGGCAGCUCACUGGGGCAUAACUGACGCUGAUGCACGAAGGUGUGGGUAUCAAACAGGAUUAGAUGCCCUGGUAGUCCACACAGUAAACUAUGAAUACUCGCUGUUUGCGAUAUACAGUAAGCGGCCAAGCGAAAGCAUUAAGUAUUCCACCUGGGGAGUACGCCGGCAACGGUGAAACUCAAAGGAAUUGACGGGG